GACCAACCCUUAAAGACUGCUACAUCUUUAGGAUAUUCUAGUCCAACAUCGAGGUCACAAACUCUCUUUUCGAUAAGGACUCUCAAAGAGAAUUAUGCUGUUAUCCCUAUGGUAACUAAUUUCAUUAAUCAAAAUUUCUGGAUCAACACUUGUAAGUCUUAUUGUUUAAUAAAGAAGCUUUAUUUGUUCCAUAGUCGCCCCAACCAAAAUCUAAAAUAGAUUAAUAUUUAAAAUUAUAUAUUGUUUUCAAUUUACUCUUUUAAAGCUCAAUAGGGUCUUCUUGUCUUUCAAUUAAAUCUAGGUUUCCUCACCUAGAAAUCAAAUUCUAAAAAAUUACAUAGAGACAGCUUUGUUCACGUCAAACCAUUCAUACUAGCCCUCAAUUAUAGGGCAAAUGAUUAUGCUACCUUUGCACGGUCAGAGUACCGCGGCCGUUAAAAUAUAUUCACUGGGCAGGUCCGACUC
rnacentral:rRNA from 1 species